rnacentral:sRNA from 1 species
UCAUCUUCCGGGUUACAAUGCGUCUGAG